ACACUGUCUAUUUGAAAUAGAGCCAGCUUUUGAAAACAAGUUAGAAGUCAUCUCCUUGCCAAUUUUUGUGGGUGUUCAUCGUGCCUGGAUAGCAAGAAAAUUCCUGCAGGGAAUCUCAUGAAUGUCAGAGCUAGCAGAAAACAGAAGCAAGAUAUCAGCAUGUUCAAUGGCUGCAUUCCCCUGAGUGGAGGAAAAGUACCUGGGAAAGCAGUGAGAGGAGAGAUGAGGAGCAGCCUGCUGCAGAAAGAACUGCUGUCUAGAAGAGAACAUAUCAGGACAACUGCCAGCAUACUGAGCGAGAGGUGUUGGGAGUGUUUGUUGUUCACACUUAACAACCUGAUGUGAUUUAUCGUGCUUUUAUUUCGUCUCCCUCCAAAGAUGUUAUGUCUGUUUAAAUACAGUUUUCACUCUGUUGCUCACUACCGGAGAUGCUUCACUCAAGGAGCCCCAGGUAAUACAAUGCAGCUUCUCCCUGGAAGCCCAAAAUAGUGUUUAAAUGCUUUUCUGCAAAGACUCCGUAAAAAUUGAACACAACCUCUGCUUCGUUAGUCAGUUUGUGGCAGAACAGCAGCAAAGCCUGUCUGAACUUGAAUCUUAUGGCUGUAUUAAGACAUAUUUUUUCACAGUAAAGACAUAGACUUGGACUCCAUCAUCUCAGAAUAAAAGAGCAUAUCAAAAACCCUUCUAAGGUAUUAUUUGUUCAUUAGACUCUGAUCAUAUUCUAGGGAAGACAAAGCAGUACAUCCUUUUCAAGGGAAAUAUUUCCUAUUUCCUAAAUUUUGAGGUAUAAGUCGAGUUUACUUCAGCCAGAUGGGGAGUCCAUCACACUGCAGGAGCCAGCACAGCAUGGCGGGGUUGUUAAAAACAUAUUUAAGUCUGUGCUAAAUGCACUGAAUUUUAUUAGUUUCAGCAGCCACCUUUCUGAAAACACUGUAUUUCAACACAUUCAAAAUGAAACCCUUUUUUUUUUUUUUCCACAUGAAAAACCCUUUCCUUUCAAGUUUUACCUACACUUAUUUUAGUGAAAAUCAGCUUAUCUCCCCAAAAUAAAACACGCCUCUUGCCAUUGUGCCAGCUCCCAUGUUUUGUUUCUUUGCUGGCUUUCACUUUUACCAUGAAGAUUAAAAAAGCUCUCAGUCCAGAGCAG
rnacentral:lncRNA from 7 species